AAGUCAAACUUCCCACAGGAGAGAUGGGGCAGAUCUAGACAAUCUUUUCUCCUUAGUUCCCUGGAUAGAGUUGUCAGACCCCUCGCCCCGUAGAGAUACUGGUAACAGCAGAUGUAAAGCAAAGGGAAUUUUAAUUCUGCACAAGAUUCUAAUACACUUGAGGCUGUAAAAGAGGACAAAGUUGGAGGCUCCGCAGGAGGCUCUGGGGCGGGGCAGGAACAGAGAACCGGUUCUGAGAAAACCGCAAGUCAAAUCUCCCCACCCCGCGCCCCCGCGGCCUCAGGGGGCGCCCUGGCCGCUCGGGACGGAGCUCUCCAGCAAGGGGGCAGGUCUGGCCGGUCGCUGGAGGGCGUCCUCGUGCACUGCCAGGCACUUACUCGUUUGGAAAACAAAUUUCUAACAUUUAGGACCACGUUGGCAGGGACGAGAGGCCGAAGACAUUUUCACACUCAUUUCAAAAUUGGGAAGCGCCUCCUGGAAGAAGCUUCCAGCCUAAGAAUUUGUCGGGAAAUGGGAGUCCCAUGUUGAGAGAAGGAAGGAAAAGAAUGAAUAAAACACAUGAAUGUAGGAGACCCUCGUAGGAAGCAAAUCUGUUGUGGCAGCGAAUGUCAGACGCGGCUGGGAGUGUUAAUUGGAGAUGGAAAUAUAAGUAUUAGGAAUUCUGUCUUGCACAGAGCAGGGCCAAACACAAGGCUACUGAUAGACUGAGCAGCAUCUCCCACGUGAUAAAUGGCACCCAGACAAGGCACUGUCCACUGUAAGCGCCGUUCUGAGUGCUGCCCUGCGUGUCCAGGCCCAGCUGUCGGCGUGCUUGGCGGCGGCGGCAGACCGGGACCACCGGCCGCUGUCUGCGCAGGACCCGGAAUGACAGCAGAAGGCGCCCCGGGGCGCUUGACAGGCCCUGGUCAUCAUGAUGGAGGACUGCCCGCCACCUCGAAGGGUCUCGGGCUGAGAGGCUGCCUCUUAUGCAAUCAUUAUUCCCAGCUCUGUCUUUCGUGGUGGAAAAUGGCUGGCAUCCAAAAGUCUACAGCAACUAACAUUAACCAUCCAGAGAUUUCAGAAGAGGUGCCGGGUUCCCGGUGCAGGGACUCAGCUUGGUCAACAAGCAGAAGCCAUGCUCUGUGAAAACGAUGUCCGUGUCCCGUGGCAACUGAAGCCCCGGGUAACUCCGCGGAGGAGGAACGCCGCCCUUUUCAGUUUGACCAGACUUUCUCUAACUGGUCCCGUCAUUCAGCCGCUCUCUGCAGUAGGACAUCACAGUGACACUCCGCUGGGUUCACGGGAAGUGCAGUCACUGGGGGGCUUCCUCUUAGUCAGCGUUUCUGAAGCAGGAGCUCAGUUUGCUCUCCUCCCACGGCAGAGGGGGAAGCGAACACUCACCUGCCACCGGGCGAAACAGAAUUAAUGAUUCAACGGCCGUGGCCCCUCUUUUUCGCAAUGAGCCUCCUUCCUUUCAACGUAACAGAUGGUGCGAACACGUAGGUCACUUGCGGGCCACGGAUGCCCGUCACCAGGGGGGCCAGCCCAGCUCGGCACACUCGCUCGAAGCUCCCCUCGGGGGCCAUGGGACCUUGGUUUUACAGCCGGGGCUUCACAGUCGGACGCAUGGAUGACCUCCGGGGGAUACAGGGGAAAGAACAUGUGCCAUUGGGAAACUUCCGGGAAGCUGUUAUCUUGAACUUCAAGUCUAGGUGAUUCUGAAGGGGCUGGGCUCCCCUGAGACCCAGGCAGAGCCGGCAGCGAGGCCACGCUGGUUUUGAGCCGAGCGGGCGUCGUCUUCUGGGGGCACACGGGGGCGCACGGGGGCACAGGAAAGGGAGCCUCGGGGUCAGAAGGACUGGACCUCCCCUGGCCGCGGGACUCGCCCACCGAGGGCUCCCCUGACAGUUCGUUUACCCCUCUGCACCUUGACUCCCCCGUCUCAAUAGGACGAACCCUAAAACUGGCUCUAGCCAGUGGGACGUGGGAUCGGAUGACGACAGCGUGUGAACCACUGGAAACCAACCACACAUUUUUUUAAUUCAGAUGCUACGUGUUCCUGCUCCUGAGAACAGCGUGUCUACGGCUUUGGCCGCUGGUGUUCCACGGGCGUGUGGCCGUGAUUCAGAGCUUGUCUCGCCACAGAAAGGAUCCAGAGAGGAGACACGAAGGCUAAGACAGUGAAGCAGGGAUGUGUCAAGGGGCGGAUGGGACGCUCUCGGGGGGAGCGGGCAGCUCAGCUGUGCGGCUGCCCCGAGUUUCUUUGACAAGCUGGCUACACGGGGUGUAAAAAUGAAUGAGCAGAAUGUUUACUGUGGAGGGAAGGGUCUGGGGUCAUGUUCUCUGAUUUCCAUCCCAGCUCCACCUUCCCGAAGGGAGGAGGGAGUUCUGACCUUACUUAGUCUGGAUGGGAAGGGUGCACGAUGGGGGCUUCUGAUCUGCGGGGCUAAUUUUAAUGAAAUGAGGGCAUAAUGAGCAAAAGGCUACACUUGGUCACUGGAGACUCCUGCCUUUUCCCCAUCUUUCUCUGUUGGUCUCCAGGGCACUUGUCACCCCCAAACGUGUGACCUUUUAUCAGCCAGAAGUUCCUGCUUUUCUUUCUCUGCCGGGACCCCGUUGUUCACAUGAUGUAGGAUUUCCCGUAUUUGGCCUGUGCCCCCCUGUCUCUGCUCUAACAGAGGGAGGGAGGACUGAGGUCUGAGAAGGGGGUGUCUCCCGGCACAGAGCUGGGAAAAGCAAGGAGACCCUCCUCUCCCCUCAGGGACGGACGUCCUCCGUUCGCUCCCCACACGGGGAAGCCCCGCUCUGGAAGGAAUCCUGUCAGUGGGAACACACCCCCCGUUCUGCAGGUGGAUGAGGUGUCAGUGCCUCGGAUGGUGAGAAGGUGUCCGCCCCGCCGGUGCGGACGCUGCCGGGCCGUGUGCGCCCGCCCUCCCAGGGCAGGGCUGCCCCUCAGCGGGUGUGAAAGGAGAAGGAGCGGACUCCAGCCCAGAGUCGGUGCAGGCGGCAGACGAGAGAUGAAAAGGGAGGGGCUGGAAGAAACCCGAGCUGCGUGCAGGCCCCAGGAGGCCCCGUGCUGGGUUCUGACAGGGGUUCCCUUCUCCAUGGAGAAAGGCCUGGCUGGUGGGUCCUUACGCCAGUGCGGGAGACCAGGGGAAGGCGCUUGGAAGCAGUGGCGUCAUAAACGGAGGAAGUCUGCGCGGGGCCCUGGGAGCCCCGCUGGGGGGCUGUCAGCGUUGAUCUGAGGGGCCCCUGAGGCUGACAAGGCCCCGCCCUGGGGGCCCCACCUGAAUUCUGGGCAAACCGCAGGACCCACCGCAUUCGGACCCUGGCCAGGACCGCCACCCCAGUCGCCAGCCUUACUGGGCUUUUCUUCCGUUGACCCAGAGCGACCCAGACACAUUUCACUCCAGACACUAAGCGUCUGUUUCACAAAAGGGGCCUCAGUUAUUUUGUCGGGCUGCGUCCCACAGACCAUCUUGUCAUCACCGUAACACCGGCGACCGAGUGUGCGCUGGUCAGGAAGCUGACGUCAGAGGGGGCCCGUAUCUUUAGGUGCCUCCUGUGUGUCAAGGACAGGAAAUAGGAAAUUUACCGUAUUUAGGCCUCACUGAAACCCCUCGUAACUGCUCCGUGCAGGCGAUUUUACUCAGUGCUCUUGCAUUUGGUGUCAUUUUAUCCUAAAAAGCACCCUGCGAGGCGGAUCGCAUAACACAGGGCGAAGCCGGAGGAAGGACAGGCCCUGCUGGUGAAUCGCGGCUGCCUGACUUCUGAGCUCUGAGAGGCUCUCCAGGGUGCGCUUUGACUGCCACUGUGUGACAUUCAGCUCCUGUGCGAUGGGACGAGGUGUCGCAGUGGCUUAGAAACCACUGUGAAAUUGCUUUUAUUGAAGCCAAGCAGUCACAACGAAGACAGAAUCAAAAUUAAAAUCUCGGUUGAAACUAACAAAUUUUACAUGAAUUGAUUGGCCAUUUCUAUACAGUUCAGGAAAAAAUCGUGUCAGAUGCCCUUUAUUUUUAUUUUUUUAUUUUUUGACAAGGAAUGCAUAGAGCAUUUAGACGGAGGAUCAUUUAAAAGACGAGGGAAGUGUAAGUCCAAACGCUUGCACGAGUGAGUGUUUCUGUGUGUGUGAUGGUGCGUGUGUGAGAGACAGAAGAGAGCGUCACAAGGAGGGCACCUUGCCCCUCAUUUAAUCAUAAUCGUCUGCAAACCCCAAAUUGUGAGGCAUUCCAUUGGCUUGAGAAGCUCCUCUGGACCACCACAGACGUCUAACAGAGGGUCUUUGGCGAGGAUUUUGCCCCGUUUUUAAUGCGACAAUUAAGACCAAAAGUAAGCGAGCCCACAGCCAGAGCCGGGGACAAACCACACCGUGUCCGCAGAGGGCGCAGGGCUCCCCACCGACUCGGGGUCCUGACGCCACGUCCAGGUGCAGUUCGUGCGUCUCUGGCAACACAGGAACCCUUCCUGGGCCCCUCUCAGCGCUCUGCGCAGUCCUGAAGGAGACUGUCAAGGAAAACAAAACUCCUGGGACGGGGGGAAGGCCAAGUCCAAGACGGACGGCCCAGACCCCGGGAAAGGAGAGUGAGUGACAGGGGCACGGGGAUGGGGCCCCCAGCCUCUGGGGUGAGAAUGAGUGCGGGGUUUUAUUGAAACACUGUAAUAAAAAGCAAAGUUGACUGUUUUCGUACACAAUAUAAGUAAAAGCUUAAGAGCAAAGUAAUAAUAGAGCCUCAUCCCAGAGUCUUCCUCAGAGACCAGAGGCCGCUCGGGGGCCUGGGCCGGAAUCCGGGCUCCGUGGGGCCGCGCUCGUGCACGUUUCAGGGCGCGUCCCCGCCAGUUCGCGGACUCCGCGCCAUUUACCUUAACGGGAGAGGACGCCGAGUGAGACAUCUGAGCCGGACGACUUUAAAGACGCGGUUCCUGCGUGCGGAGGGACUCUCGCCCCGACACGCUGUGACUCAGCGCUGUGACCAGCGACACUCUCCGAGGGAGUCAGGACAGGCGACCACAAACUCGCACCGUGAUGUUUACUGCUGUCAGCGGAGCUCAGAGCAAAUGAACAGUUGAGAAGAGACUGUUCACAGGUGUUCACGGGCGUUACGCCCUCGUCUGUGCACAACGCUGCCUUUUUUCUUCCUUAACUUUGGGAACAGUGUCCUCUGAAAGGUCCCCGUUCUGACGUGGCCACUCCACUCACCAUGUGCUCUCAAACACUCGUUCCCGAAGCCUGUGUUCUCAUGAAUGCAGGGCUGUUCUAAGCUCCUUUGGCCUCAAAGA